UUCUCUCUCUAUCUCUCCCUCGUGUGUGUAGUGAGAGAAGUGCGCGUGUGUGUGUGUCAGUGUCUGUGUUUUGUGUGCGGGGAAAAUGGUUAAAUGGUGUAUCUGUAAAUUGUGAAGGAAGGAAGGUUACUGAGUUGGCCUUCUUCACCCACCGAGUCGGACUCGGUC